CCUUACUGCUAUCGGGAUGAGACUAAAACAUGCUAGUUGUGCGCACCCAAGCUAUGUUGGGAGCGCAGCGAACGGCUCCGUAACACGUAGUCAAUCUAACCUUAGGAUGGGAAUAACCCCGGGAAACUGGGGCUAAUCCCUGAUAGGUGAGGGUUCCUGGAAUGGGCCCUCGCCGAAAGGGCGCCUAGACCAUGCUUCUAGGUGCUGCCCAAGGAUGGAGCCGCGGCCGAUCAGGUUGUUGGUGAGGCAACGGCUCACCAAGCCUUUAACCGGUACGGGCCGUGAGAGCGGGAGCCCGGAGAUGGGCACUGAGACAAGGGCCCAGGCCCUACGGGGCGCAGCAGUUGCGAAAACUCCACAAUGCACGAAAGUGCGAUGGGGCUACCCCGAGUGCCGUCCGCUGAGGACGGCUUUUCCACGGUGUAAGGAGCCGUGGGAAUAAGGAGAGGGCAAGCCUGGUGUCAGCCGCCGCGGUAAUACCAGCUCUCCGAGUGGUGAGGACGAUUAUUGGGCUUAAAGCGUUCGUAGCCGGCUUAACAAGUCUUCCGUUAAAUCCAACGAUCUAAUCGUUGGGCCGCGGGAGAUACUGUUGGGCUAGGAGGCGGGAGAAGCCGACGGUAUUCUCGGGGUAGGGGUGAAAUCCUGUAAUCCCGGGAGGACCACCAGUGGCGAAGGCGGUCGGCUAGAACGCGCUCGACGGUGAGGGACGAAAGCUGGGGGAGCGAACCGGAUUAGAAACCCGGAUAGUCCCAGCUGUAAACGAUGCGGGCUAGGUGUUGGGGUGGCCACGAGCCACCUCAGUGCCGCAUGGAAGCAAUUAAGCCCGCCGCCUGGGGAGUACGGCCGCAAGGCUGAAACUUAAAGGAAUUGGCGGGGGAGCACCACAAGGCGUGAAGCUUGCGGUUU
rnacentral:rRNA from 1 species